rnacentral:rRNA from 1 species
AACGUAGGAGACAAACGUUAUCCGGAGUUACUGGGCGUAAAGGGCGUGUAGGCGGUUUGUUAAGUCUGGCGUGAAAGCUCUCGGCUAAACCGGGAGAGGUCGUUGGAUACUGGCGAACUAGAGGAUGGUAGAGGCGUGUGGAAUUCCGGGUGUAGUGGUGAAAUGCGCAGAUAUCAGGAGGAACACCGGUGGCGAAGGCGGUUCUCUGGGCAUUACCUGACGCUGAGGAGCGAAAGUGUGGGGAGCGAACAGG